AAGAAACAACUGGAAUCCAGGGACAGAAACCUGGUGUUGUGGUUCACAUUUAGUGUCAGGUGUGGCCAGGUCUGACAGAAUAUCCUGAUUUCUCCGAUGAAGUGACACCUGAAUGGUGGUACGACAACUUGCAGAAGUUCCAUGUGGCGUUUGAUGGGUUAUGGAUUGACAUGAAUGAGCCAUCAAACUUCUUGGAUGGAUCGACCAAUGGCUGUCCAUCAAGCCCUCCUAAAAAUUCUCCUUACUCGCCUGGCGUACGUGAGGGUUUGCUGAGAUCUAAAACUCUGUGUGCCAUGGCUCAACAGAAGGAGUUCAUACAUUACAACAUGCACAGUCUCUAUGGACUCAUGGAAGCUAAAGCAAUCUAUAACAUGCAC